rnacentral:rRNA from 1 species
CCUGGCGGCGAGUGGCGAACGGGUGAGUAAUAUAUCGGAACGUACCCAAGAGUGGGGGAUAACGUAGCGAAAGUUACGCUAAUACCGCAUACGAUCCAAGGAUGAAAGUGGGGGCUCGCAAGACCUCAUGCUCCUGGAGCGGCCGAUAUCUGAUUAGCUAGUUGGUGAGGUAAAGGCUCACCAAGGCGACGAUCAGUAGCUGGUCUGAGAGGACGACCAGCCACACUGGGACUGAGACACGGCCCAG